rnacentral:rRNA from 1 species
UACGUAGGUGGCAAGCGUUGUCCGGAUUUACUGGGCGUAAAGAGCGCGCAGGCGGUCGUUCAAGUCGCGUGUGAAAGCCCCCGGCUCAACUGGGGAGGGUCACGCGAUACUGAUCGACUCGAAGGCAGGAGAGGGUAGUGGAAUUCCCGGUGUAGUGGUGAAAUGCGUAGGAUAGUCGGGAGGAACACCAGUGGCGAAGGCGACUACCUGGCCUGUUCUUGACGCUGAGGCGCGAAAGCUAGGGGAGCAAACGGG